UUGUUUGAUCCUGGCUCAGGAUGAACGCUAGCGGCAGGCUUAACACAUGCAAGUCGAGGGGUAUGAGUCUUCGGAACCAGAGACCGGCGCACGGGUGCGUAACGCGUAUGCAAUCUACCUUUUACAGAGGGAUAGCCCAGAGAAAUUUGGAUUAAUACCUCAUAGCAUAGCAGCUUCGCAUGAAGCCACUAUUAAAGUCACAACGGUAAAAGAUGAGCAUGCGUCCCAUUAGCUAGUUGGUAAGGUAACGGCUUACCAAGGCUACGAUGGGUAGGGGUCCUGAGAGGGAGAUCCCCCACACUGGUACUGAGACACGGACCAGACUCCUACGGGAGGCAGCAGUGAGGAAUAUUGGACAAUGGGCGCAAGCCUGAUCCAGCCAUGCCGCGUGCAGGAUGACGGUCCUAUGGAUUGUAAACUGCUUUUAUACGAGAAGAAACACUCCUUCGUGAAGGAGCUUGACGGUAUCGUAAG
rnacentral:rRNA from 1 species